rnacentral:rRNA from 1 species
CCCUUAGAUGUUCUGGGCUGCACGCGUGCUACACUGAUAUUGCCAAUAUGUCAUUCUUAUCCGAAAUGGAUUGGGUAAUCAAGUAAUGAAAUUUCAUGCUUGGAAUCGGUAAUUGCAAUUUUAUCGUGAACGAGGAAUUCCUAGUAAGCACUAGUCAUCAGCUAAUGUUGUUUAUGUCCCUGCCCUUUGUACACACCGCCCGUCGCUACUACUGAUUGGGUGUUCAAGUGAGAUGCUUAGACCCUUGUUGCAUGGUUCAUUAUUGUGCUCCGAAAGGAAAAAGUUUCAAGCUUGAGUGUCUAGAGGAAGUAAAAGUCGUAACA